UGCAGUCGAGCGGAUGAAGGGAGCUUGCUCCUGAAUUCAGCGGCGGACGGGUGAGUAAUGCCUAGGAAUCUGCCUGGUAGUGGGGGACAACGUUUCGAAAGGAACGCUAAUACCGCAUACGUCCUACGGGAGAAAGCAGGGGACCUUCGGGCCUUGCGCUAUCAGAUGAGCCUAGGUCGGAUUAGCUAGUUGGUGAGGUAAUGGCUCACCAAGGCGACGAUCCGUAACUGGUCUGAGAGGAUGAUCAGUCACACUGGAACUGAGACACGGUCCAGACUCCUACGGGAGGCAGCAGUGGGGAAUAUUGGACAAUGGGCGAAAGCCUGAUCCAGCCAUGCCGCGUGUGUGAAGAAGGUCUUCGGAUUGUAAAGCACUUUAAGUUGGGAGGAAGGGCAGUAAAUUAAUACUUUGCUGUUUUGACGUUACCGACAGAAUAAGCACCGGCUAACUCUGUGCCAGCAGCCGCGGUAAUACAGAGGGCCUGGGAACUGCAUCCAAAACUGGCGAGCUAGAGUAUGGUAGAGGGUGGUGGAAUUUCCUGUGUAGCGGUGAAAUGCGUAGAUAUAGGAAGGAACACCAGUGGCGAAAGCGACCACCUGGACUGAUACUGACACUGAGGUGCGAAAGCGUGGGGAGCAAAUGCAAGCGUUAAUCGGAAUUACUGGGCGUAAAGCGCGCGUAGGUGGUUCGUUAAGUUGGAUGUGAAAUCCCCGGGCUCAACAGGAUUAGAUACCCUGGUAGUCCACGCCGUAAACGAUGUCAACUAGCCGUUGGGAGCCUUGAGCUCUUAGUGGCGCAGCUAACGCAUUAAGUUGACCGCCUGGGGAGUACGGCCGCAAGGUUAAAACUCAAAUGAAUUGACGGGGCCCGCACAAGCGGUGGAGCAUGUGGUUUAUUCGAAGCAACGCGAGAACCUUACCAGGCCUUGACAUCCAAUGAACUUUCCAGAGAUGGAUUGGUGCCUCCGG
rnacentral:rRNA from 1 species